rnacentral:rRNA from 1 species
ACUGAACGCUGGCGGCAUGCCUUACACAUGCAAGUCGAACGGCAGCGCGGGAGCAAUCCUGGCGGCGAGUGGCGAACGGGUGAGUAAUAUAUCGGAACGUGCCCAGUAGUGGGGGAUAGCCCGGCGAAAGCCGGAUUAAUACCGCAUACGACCUACGGGUGAAAGGGGGGGAUCGCAAGACCUCUCGCCAUUGGAGCGGCCGAUAUCAGAUUAGGUAGUUGGUGGGGUAAAGGCCCACCAAGCCUGCGAUCUGUAGUUGGUCUGAGAGGACGACCAGCCACACUGGGACUGAGACACGGCCCAGACUCCUACGGGAGGCAGCAGUGGGGAAUUUUGGACAAUGGGGGCAACCCUGAUCCAGCAAUGCCGCGUGCAGGAAGAAGGCCUUCGGGUUGUAAACUGCUUUUGUCAGGGAAGAAAUCUUCUGGGUUAAUACCUCGGGAGGAUGACGGUACCUGAAGAAUAAGCACCGGCUAACUACGUGCCAGCAGUCGCAGUAA